CACCGGCAGCUCUAGUGGUAACAAUUUUUAUUGGGCCCUAAAGCGUCCGUAGCCGGUUUAAUAAGUCUCUGGUGAAAUCCUGCAGCUUAACUGUGGGAAUUGCUGGAGAUACUAUUAGACUUGAGACCGGGAGAGGUUAGAGGUACUCCCAGGGUAGAGGUGAAAUUCUGUAAUCCUGGGAGGACCGCCUGUUGCGAAGGCGUCUAACUGGAACGGUUCUGACGGUGAGGGACGAAAGUUAGGGGCGCAAACCGGAUUAGAUACCCCUGUAGUCCCUGAGCGGGCUGGCAA
rnacentral:rRNA from 1 species